rnacentral:lncRNA from 1 species
UCUCCCUCACUUAAAGAGUGGCUUGGAAGGUUCUUGAAAGCUGGAGUUUCUAAAGAAGUGCAGCCCGCCCAUCUUCCUCGUCCUUCUGUUCCAUCCUCUAUUCUUCCAAGUUUGACAACUUCAGAAACUGAGACGGCUGUAAUGGGAGAGCUAAUAGCAUCUAAGUGUGCCACAAAUGAUGGAGUUGGCACCAAAGCUUUUGAUGCUUCUGUUCCGAUUUCAGUUGAACCAGUUAUGUCUUGCAGUUCAUUAGUUGUAACUAGUGAAAGUUUAGAUGAUGCUAUAGAGAAUUGGGUUCAAAGGCUUGGAGAAACUGUUAGAAAGUCAAACACAAUUGACACUCAGAUUUUGGAGAAGAUACUGCUCUCAUUUGCAAAUCUUGAUGGUCACAAGGUAACAGGUGACUUUGCUCUUAGUCCUCAGUCUUUAUCUUCUAAAAUAGCAAAGGAACUUGAGUUGAAUGGGUACAAGCUGUUUUCUCCCCUGGAAUCCAGCCCAAAUAAUUCCAAUUGUGAUGAUGAAGUACACUCUGCAACUGCUUUAAUUAUUCGUACUUUUAUCUUUUCUCAGCAUGAGAGGUUGCAGGAAAUGCUUUUAUCCUGGUCUAAACAGGGAUUUCCAGUUGGAAGAUGCUUGUUAUCUUAUGCAUUGAGACUAGCUUACGAGGCGCAUGCGGGAGGUUAUUUGGGGAAUGUGAUGGUCCCUGACAAUUCUGUCAAGGUAAAUGAUUUAGAAAUGCCAUUGUUAGUCUUUCACAUGGAUGUGUAUUUUUCAUUUCUCAAUGGUGGAAGAAAAGAUCCUCCUGAAGCUGACCUUUCUGCUUCUAAGAUGGACCAUCAAUUAGUUGCUAAAUUGGUUGAUGGUGCUUUUUCUGCCUACAGAUGUUUCCUUAUGUAUUCAAGAAAUGGUUUACAUAAAGAAGCUGAUAUGACUCUAGCUAGGCUCUUGUUUUCUGAUUUAGUGUCUUGUUCUAAAUGGGAAAAGAAGAUGUUGAGGUUUUCAUUCUGCAGCAUCUUUUGUCACCUUUCUGAUUUAUCCACUGGUGAGGAAGACAUCAUUAAGUUACUUGUGGCCCUGUUGGAUCAUGCUAAUAUUGUUUUUAUGCAGUUUGAGAUAGCCUUGAAAAAGUUCUCCAUAUUUGGGGAGAACACUGAGACUAUUUUCUACUUAAUCAAGAACUCCCUUAAUUGGGGCUUUGAGGAACAACACAAGGUCUGGGGCUUAAUUAGAUCAGAGCUUGCAGUUUCUAAGGUUCAAGUAGAGAAGUUGAUUUUGGAAAUUUUCUGCUCGGGUGUUUUAGAUCCAAAUUCAGCUUCCAUUGCAGUUGAAGGCCUUCUAAUGCUGUGCAGUUGUUGCAUGCCCACAUCGGAGCUUGUUGGAGCAAUUAUGUUAUUACCUAAUAAUGUGUUCCAGGACUUCUCUGCUGCCGUUCUGGCAACUUGGGCUGUGUCUAAUGCCUCAAUGUUGUUUGACAGUUUAGCCAAUUUCUUGGAGAAACUUGAUAGCAAGAAAGGGGAUUUUACACUUUUCUCUUCGACUGGGAUUAGGAUCAACCAUUCUGCCAUUUCAUGGUUGUUAAAUUAUUUUAAUACACAGGGGAUGAAAGGCAAUGAUAUUCUGAACAAGUUGUCUGUAAAUAUUCCAGACAUGAAAUCGAUUCUUCAGUUGUAACGAGAAACAGAUAUAUCUCUUCCAGCAAAAGGUAAUCUAUUGUCUGUGAUAAAGUAAAUUAUAUGGCUUUCAUGAGAAAUGUUCCUCUAGUUUCUUUAGAAUUGCACAUUAAUUGUGAUUGCCUGCAGUGAGAUUAAGCUUUCAAAACUUUCUGAUAAAAAAGAAAAGAAAAGAAAGAUUAAGCUUUCAAAAAAAUUAUAAUUUAUAAAAUGUGGUUUCAAGGAGAUUUUGAAAAUUUAGGUCUGGAUUACUAAAUGCCCUUUUACUAAACAGAUAUGUCCUUUUCUGAUCUGAGGUAAAGAGAAUAUUAAUAUCAGGUUUUUUGCCUGCAAGCCCUGUGGAUAAAUCUUAUCUGGGGACAGCAAUCAUUGCUCUCCCAAGUGUUAUUAAGUUUGUAUUGAAGUAUCACAAUUCAAAUUUUAUUUUCAAAUACUGAUGAAAAAAAAAGGUCAAUAGUGGACAUAAUCCCUUUACCUUGGUCCAUCGCCAUUGGACAAAUAGGCAUGCUGAAACUCUUAUAUAUGCAUGUGCAUGAAUGAGUCAUUGAUUGGUACAAUCUUUGUCAUUCCUCAAUUUUAUUUUAAAAAAUUCUGUUUUUUCUGUACGGUUCUUGUAACCUUGGUAAACAUUUAUAUGCAUGUAUUCACCUUGGAAAUACUUAAUUCGGCUUUGCUUUGUUUGACUUUGUUAAGGAGUGAACUCUUGCAGUAUAUGAUAUAGUUUCCUUUUUUUUUUUUUUUUUUCUCUUUUUUCUUUUGGUAUCCAUAUAACUUUCUUUUUCUUCAAUGUGUAUUUCAUAACUCCAUUUGUGCAUGUUAGUUUUAGCUUUCAAAUCUCUAGCCCAGAGAAAGGUGGGUUUUGUUAGGUUGAUAAUCCAUAAAAACCUUUAUGAAAAAAGAAUGAAGAAUAAACAGAAAUUUGGUUGGGAUUACUUUGUUAUGUGCAAUGAGAAAUAAAUGCACUUACGGGGAGAUUUGGUUCAAGUUAUGGGAUCAAUUCCGUCUUAGAGAUCCAGAGGGCUGAGGGUGUGCUACUGAAGGUGCUAUUGAGGACAACAUGACUAGAAAGGGUGUGGGCUGAGGAUGUGAGAAAAGACAUGGUAGCCCAUAAAAAUUAUAGCCCCUAUUGGAGCAAAAGUAUUUUAAUUAGAAACACUUAGGUAGCAAUAAGUCAAAAAAAAUAACUAUUUAACUAGCCAUAAGAAUUUGGGACUUAGGAUUAGACUUUGUUGGCUUGAGUUUGGUCUAUAUUGAAAUCUUGUGAGUUACUUUUGAAAUAUACUGUUGUUUGUUUACAUCUCAUAUAACACAAUUCAGUGAGAGGAAAUUGCAGCAUGAUGCUGUGAGAGCGCAUGAGGAGGACCCACAUUUUUGUUGGUCAUUCUUUUCUGGUUCCAUUAAAUACGAAAGGAAUUAAGGGGUGCGAUUGCACAAGUAAUAUUUAGUGGAAAUACAACUUGCUUGUCUCAAACUCAACAUAUAGGUCGAUUGACUUAAUGUUAGCAAUUUAUGCAAUUUCAAGUGAAUGAUAGUCUCAUAGUAAGGCAUAAGAUUAAGGGAAGUGGUGCAGGAAACUUAAAGGCAUUUUUCUGUUUUUCCUAAAUCUUGCAAAUCAAGAUCAAUUACAGUGACCUCUGAAGAAUGAAAAUAUCAGUUAAUCUACAUUGUCUUGUACUCUAGUUAAAUCAGGGCUUAUCAUCUUCCUGGUGUCUCUGAGUUUUUAAAUUUUAAUAGUCCAUAAUUGGAUGUAUAUAGUUUCAUAAAGCUAGAAACGGGGCUUGUGUAGAAUUAUUAGGCAUUUGGAGUUUUUUUUUUUUGUUCUCUGGUUUGUAUUAGUCUUCCUGUUUGGCUUUAAGACUAGCUUAUCCUUCACUAUGUCAUCUCUAUUUUUGAGUGAAAUAUUUGUUUACUAUUGAAAAAUGGAAGGACAGUGGUUAGGCAUUGACUAACUAUAGGCUAUUAUUCUUGGUCACUAUUUUUGGAACCUGAGAAAGGCUAGAGGACGGAUAAUAGAUUAAUUAUACCUUACUUGGUUUCAAAUUAUGGUUUUGAAUGACCAUAAUAUCUGUGGUUUAACAGAAGAAAUGCCAUAGAUAUGGUAGACCAUAUCUAUGGCAAGCUCUUAUUUGCCUAUCAAGAAAAAAAAUCUAUGGCAGACCCUAAUUACUUGGGCUAUUGAAUAAGGUUGAGCUGGGUCUUUUUCCACUACAUUAGAUAAAUUAUGUCUUCAAUAUCAAAAUAUAAACAAUUGCAGAUCUUCUGGACUAUGAACUGGAAAAGAAAAACUGAACUAGUAAUUUCUUAUAAACUUCAUUAAAAACUGAAUUAAUAAUUUCUUAUAAACUUUAUUCUGAAUUGUUGAAUUCUGAAAUGAGCUUCCUUAUUAUGAAAAUCUGUGAAACUCACAUUCAUAGGUGUCUUGUGCUUAGGUUGUUUGACUUCAAAUCCAAUGCCUCAUUUUAUUUGGGUUAAUUUUUAAUUUUCUGUGAAGAAGGUGAAACACAUUUGCUGGCCUUGAAUUGUGAUCAUCCAGUGCGAAGUCAUCAUCAAACAAUGUACCAAAUUAUCCCUUUAAAGUAUUCAUGCAUUAAAUGGCAGUUAAAAUGGUCUAUUAGUAUUUCACAACUAGCAUUUUUCCCUUUAAUUUUUUAAAUGUAAAUUCUGGAAUCCCCCCCCUUCUUUCUUUUUUUAAUGGAUGCUUGUAUGUAAUAUUUUCUAUUUUCUUAGAUGGAUUUCUAAGUCUCUUAACAAGUGCUGAAAAGAGGUAACAUUGAAAUUAUGUGGAGUUAUUCAUAUUCCCCUUGAAAUGAAGUCUAUCACUGUUAUCUAGGCAUAUUCUUGAGAUCAUAUUAGUUUUUAUAUCAGGCGGAACUAUUUUCUAAUCAUUUGUCUAUUCUAUGACAGGUUCAUGGGCUAUGCUUCUAUAUCAUGGAGCUUGACCAUAGUCACAAUUUCUGCGAUAUGUACAUAUGAAAUUUCAAAGAUUGAAUAAUUAAUGUCCUUGGCAUUGUUGUGGACAUUAUCUGCUUGUUCCCUUGACCAGAGACAGUUUCUAAUGGCAUGUGCCAACUUUAUUUUUGGAAGAGGUACUUUGAAGUGAGGAAUAAACAGAAUUAGACUUCUGGAAGAGAAGUUAAGUUUGCUUUAUGAGCUGUGAGCAAAUCCUGUCUUUUAUAACUGCAUUUGAGAUGGACUGAUUUUGGAAAUUGCUUCUUGUUUUCCUUCGUUGCAGCUUAUGAGAGAUAUGCAUGUCUUGCUUAAAGCCCUUAUUUUUCCUUUACAGCAAAGUGGAUCUAGGCCACCAAGUCCAGCUCCUGGAAGGCUCAUUGACAUCAUGACAGCCCUGCAACUUGUGCUGAAUGUACCACUGGUAUAGGAUGGGCUUACUUCAGACUCCAUAGAAGUGCAGACAUAAUCAGAAGCUGGCAAUGCCACUGUGUUUCUAUGUUGGGGUGCUUUCUACAAGGGACGUCCUGAGAGCUUGAGCCCCCUACUCUAGAAGAGGGUAUGCCCUUUACCAUAGUGUUAAAAUGGGAAACUAUUGUUUUAUUUAUUAACUUUGGAUUAUUGACCUAUGGCUUCUUAUGCUGGUCCUAUAUUACUUCUUUCCUUUUUCUUGACAGCAAUUAUGACACUCUUUGUUUCCAUCGAACAAUCUGACAAGUGGUAUAUCUGUCGAGAAUCAAAUUGAGCAUUGAAUUCUUCUCUUUAAUUGUACUGCAGCGUCAGUGACUUUGUAUGCAAGAACCAUCAGCCAGGCAUGGCUAUUAAGAUUCAAGGUUAGAUUUCCCUUGCUUCUUGAUGUGCUUAGCAUUAAGCAUUGUUAUUGUGAUUUGUGAGAACUAUCUUUGUUAUUUCAAUAAGUUUCCAUGUUCCAAUGAAGUCCUUGCGUUUGUUAUAAAAAAUAUACUGAAUCUUUCAUUUCUUUGGGUCACUGGUCAUCUGCGGGGGAUUUUGGGUUUAAUACUGAUAUUUUAGUAACAAAUCCAAUAAAUCUAAGUGUAGUGCUGGGAGUAUUGAUCCUUUUUGGAAAGGGAGCAUGUGCAAGUUGUUUAUUUCAAGAAUAGGUUAGAUUCCACUACCUGCACUUUUUUUCAUUAUAACUAGGAAAAAAUGUACAUGAUCCCAUAAAUUACUUCUGAAUAAAUUAAGAAAGCAUAUGUAAAAACCAUAACAUUUUGUAAUUCAUUGGUAAAUAUAUUGUAAUUCUCUAUCACAAUAUUUUUAGAGUCGAACCGAUGGUUGAACCGCGAUCGAAUCGAUGACGUCAUAAAUAUAUAAUUUAUAUAUUAUUAAAAUUAUAUAUAACUACAAAUACGGAAAUGUAAACAUUUAGUUGUAACUUGGAACAAGCUAUUAAGGGGGAGAAUUCAUACUUAAUCUCCACCGUUCAUUUAAAAAAACAAAACCCUAAAACCCUCUUUUCUCUUCACCAACCGCUCCCUUUUUCCCCCUUCCUUUUCUUCUCCAUUUCUUCUUCCCAUCACCAGCCGCUCCCCUUUUUCCCUCUUUCUCUUCUUCUCCAUUUCUUCUUCUUCUUUCCCUCUCUCUCUCACCAUGCUUGCACGGCGGUGCCUACCCUCACCAGCAGCCAUUUCACCGCCGACAGUAGCAAGCCAUCUCAUUGCCGGCUGCAGCAGGCCAUCUCACCACUGGCAGCAGUAAGCCAUCUCAGUGCCGACAGUAGCAGGCCAUCUCAUCAACCUGAGCAUGACUCCUGAUUGCCAGCCAACAGUCGUCCCAUUACACCAUCUCACUAUCUUUCACUCAUGGGGUAAAAAAAAAAAAAAAAAAAAAACAUGCAGUGAACCAUUCGGUUCACUACAAAUCGGCCGGUUCACCGGUUCGACUGUCGGUUCCAAUGGUUCGAGGCCGGUUCAAUAGGUCACCGAUCCAAAAGGGUGGACCGAACCGGAAAGGUCAUAGACCGACUGAUCAGAUCCGGUUUUUAAAACAAUGCUCUAUCAUUAAAUGAUAAGGUAUAUUAACAUGGUUAAAGUUAUAAACCAUUUGAAGUCUGGUAUUCUUUCUACCAUUAAAUGAUAGGGUACAUUAACAUGGUUAAAGUUAUAAACCAUUUGAAGUCUGGUAUUCUUUCUACGCCAGAUUAAUGUGGAGGUAGUUUCAAAUUGAAUAAUUGAAUUUUUUUUUGGCAUAGAACAUUCGAUAAAAUGAUUUGAACCAUUUAUUGGAAAAAUAGGUAUUUCUUUCCCUUUUUUGUUAAAAAAAAAAAAUUAAAUGCAGAAUCGAUGACCUAUGUCUAUAUAUAAAGUACAAAGAUUUUUUUCUUUUUUUUGGAUUUGAAUAAAAGAAAAGAAACAACUCUAUUGAUAUUUACAUAUGUUUGGUCAGAAGAGUCCUUCGAAUAUUUUGGUCUUGGAUAGCGUGGUCAAUUUCGAUAUUUUUAUUUUUUUGUUGGAAUGUGAGUAGAAAAAAAAGGAUAGGCUUAUUUUGUAUGUGUGAGAGAAUCUAGAGGAAAAACAUUUUAUUUCGAUCAAGCUAAAAUAAUAUUCCGAUGCCUCUAGUAAAUUGAAAACAUCGUUUACUAGCUAAUUUGUUUAGUUUGUUUUAAUCUCCCCUUUACAAACAAACUUAGAAUUGAAUAUUUACCUACGGUUAGAAAUCAACUUUUCUAUUCAAUUGGAAGUGUUGGUCCAAUUGAUAAAAAUUAUGUUUUUAAUUUCCUAAUCCAAUUUCAAAUUUUCAUACAAAUCAUGAGUGUUCAAACCCUUUUUCUUUUUAGGUUUCCAUUGAUGGUUGAGUAGACUCGAGCAAUGAAUUACUAAUUUGUUGUAAUAGUAAUUCAAGUGUUUGAAUUUUAUUUUUAUUUUUUUUGUGUUUCCAUGAAUUGAUAUUUUAUUUCUCUUUCAAAUUUAUCGAGCCCUUUUUCCUUUUUCAUAGUUAAAGGAGCAAAAUAGAAAAAAUUCGAAGAAAAUUUAAAAAUCAAGUAAAGAAAAUUUCUUUCGUAUUUAUUCCAUGGUUUUAAAAAUCGAACCCACUGAUCGGUCCGAUCGUCGACCGGUCACGGUUCCGGUCCGGUCAAUUGGACUGGAAAGAGGUUAGACCGGAAUUGGACCGGUUAAACAGGUGGUGCGACCGGCGAACGAACCGUCCGAUUCAAUUUUUUUUUUCCUCCACUGUCGACAUCUCUCGCCGGCAAGACCCCCGCAACCCCGCUGGAAACCUCCCCCACCCUCCUGCGCUGGAAAACACAACCCCCCUCCCCCGCUGGAACCCACGCACAGGAAAAGCUUCCCAUUUUUACUUGUCAGAACCCACCCUCGUGUUGGAAACCCCGCCCUCCCACGACCCCGCUGGAACCCACGCACUGGAAAAGCUUCCCGUUUUUGCUCGCCAGAACCCACCCUCAUGUUGGAAACCCCGCCCUCCCAUGACCCCGUCGGAACCCCCUGCCGGAAAAGCUUCAAUUUUUUGCCCGCCGAAACACUCCCGCGCUAGAAACCCUACCCCCACGCGACCCCCAGGAACCCCUCCCAACGACUGGAACCCCCCACACUGCAAAACCCCCCCUCCUCCCAGCGACUGGAACCCCCCACACUGCAAAAUCCACCCUCCUUCCAGCGAUUGGAACCCCCACACUGCAAAAACCAAAAAAGUGAAAAAUUGUGCCCUUUUUGUCCAACCCUCUCCUCCCUUUUUCCAGAAUUUGUUUUUUUUUGUUUAAUUUAUACCUCAUCUCACUAUUAUUUUAUUUAUUUAUUAUUUAUUUACUUCAUAUUUAAAACUUAUGAUUUUAAUUUAAAUUAAUAAAAAUAUUACAAUUUUAAAUAAAUUUCUGAUUUUAAAAUUUAUGUUUUUAAUUUAAAUUUUAAAUUUGAAACUAAUUUUCUAGUUUUUAAAUAAAAUUUUAAUUUUUAAAUAAUAUAUAAAUUAUUAUUUUUAUUUUUAUAAUUAUUUUAAAUUUUAAUAAUUUAUAAAUUAUAUAUUUAUGAUGUCAUCGAUUUGACCGUGAGUUUUUCGGUUCAAAUGACCGAUGCGAUUUUAAAAAUAUUGAUGAAUAGAGAAACAAAGGAUACCUAAACAAAGAGUUUGAAAGUAAGCAUUAUAGGAUCUCCAAUAAUUCUUUUUUUUUCUUUUGUUCUUUUUAGGAAAAAGAGAAUCAAAUCUCCAUUUUGACACCAUGAUAUAGGAAGUAGUUUUUAGAAAAUUAUUUGUAAUUAAGAUUCUUUGCCAAAAUUUUCUUUCAUCCGGAUCCUAAUAGUGUCUUUUGCUAUAAAAAAAAGAAAAAAAAGGAAGGAGUUAAAAUGAGGUGAUGCGGAUUUAUUGCAACUAUUUGACACUUUUACUUUUAGUGUUUUCAUCGAGGGUUCAUAAUUUAAGAUUUCUCUAAUCAUAUAAAUUGUUAGAAUAUUUUUUUCUUUCAAAUAAAUCAUGAAUUUUUUUCAAGGCAGAAUUAAAUAUUCCGUGGAAAACAACAAAGAGUCAAAGAACAAGAGAAAAAAAAAGGAAUUAGUAAGAGUGACAUAACAUCUAGGAUUGGUGAAUACUUGUGAGAUUUCUUCUUCUUUUUGCUUUAUUUUCCCAUGGCCGAGUAAUGGAAGAUUUUUUUGAGAACGACUGAUUGACUGGUCAAAAUGGUUGAAGUUGUCGUCUUCCUUCUACUGAUUUGAGCCACAAGUUAAAGAUAAACCAAGGAUAUACUCCUCAACACCCUCCCAUCAUUUUUCCACAGUGGACCUCAAAAGCUGCUAAUGAUGGAUCUCAACGCCGCUGCUCUCUUCUUCUGUUUAUGCCUCUCCUUCAUCUUCUUCCGUUCUCUCCGUUCUCCUCCCACCAAAAAUUCAUGUCCACACUCAUACCCCAUCAUCGGAAACCUUAUCGCUUUACUCCGCAACCGCCACCGCUUCCACGACUGGGUUGCUGACAUGCUUUCUAGAACCCCUUCCCUCACUCUCCAAGUCAACACCUUCCUCAACGCCUCCCAUGGCGUCUGCACUGCCAACCCACUCAACGUCAACCACCUCCUCGUCUCCAACUUCCCCAACUACAUCAAAGGCUCCCGCUUCCAUGACUUCUUUCAUGAACUCCUUGGAGAUGGAAUCUUUAACGUCGAUGGUCACCUCUGGACUGUCCAACGCAAGAUCUCCAGCCACGAAUUCAACACCAAGUCUCUCAAACACUUCAUCUCAGACACAGUCCAGUCCGAACUCUCCACUCGCCUUAUUCCCUUCCUCUCUUCUGCAUGUGAAAACAACCAAGUCAUCGAUCUCCAAGACGUUCUGCGGAAGGCUAUGUUCGACAACAUUUGUAAUCUUGCAUUUGGUGCCGAUCCUGCAUGUUUGAGCUCUGAAGCAGUAGGUGAAAAUUCGUUGAAUUUAUCUUUUGUUCAGGCGUUCGAUGAUGCCGUGGAGAUCAGUGCAUCACGAUCCUUGUUACCCAUCCAUGUGAUAUGGAAGAUCAAGAGAUUCUUCAAUAUAGGUUCUGAGAAACGAUUGAAGGAAGCGGUUGGCAUAAUCAACGAAUACGCUAAUAUGAUCCUCAAGUCCAAAGAAGAUCAGAUCGGCUCAGGAGAUUGUGGAAACCUGGAUUUGCUAUCUCGAUUCAUGUCCUCGAGCUCAAAUUUCGGCUUAGGGUUUGACGAUCAAGAACACAAGAGGAAGUUCUUGAGGGACAUUGUUAUAAGCUUCAUACUCGCCGGCAAGGACUCCACGUCAACAGCGUUGACGUGGUUCUUCUGGCUGAUGGCCGGAAACCCUCGAUGCGAGGGCUUGAUCUUGGCGGAACUAUCAGAGGCAUCUCCGGCACCGGCGACGUCGCCGGUGAUAUUCAGCUAUGACGAUCUGAAGGGGUUGAAUUAUCUGCAUGCGGCCAUAUCAGAGUCGCUGCGUCUGUUUCCGCCCGUGCCAAUUGAUUCGAGAUUAGCGGUAGAUGAUGACAUUCUCCCAGAUGGGACUCACGUGCGUAAAGGGUGGUUUGCUGAUUACUCAGCUUAUGCGAUGGGGAGGAUGCAUCAAGUGUGGGGUCCUGACUGUAGGGAGUAUAGACCGGAGAGGUGGUUGGAUGACGAUGGACGAUUUCGACCGUCGGAUCAGUUUCGGUUUCCGGUGUUUCACUGCGGGCCCAGGUUGUGCUUGGGGAAGGAGAUGGCGUAUGUGCAGAUGAAGUCGAUUGCUGCAAGCGUGAUGCGUGAGUUUGAGAUAGUGGCCGUUGAUGGAGGUGGGUGUGCAGGGAAGAUGGCAGACCCGCCUUACACACCAUCCAUUGUCCUUAAGAUGAGGGGUGGCCUACCUGUACGGGUGAAGAGACGGCGACAGCCCAACGCCAUCGACUUUUGUUAGAUCCCCGUGAUUGCGCACGUGCCACCAGCUCUGUAACGGACACGUAUUUGUAAUGCAUUAUGUUCGAUAUCGAUGUGACAGAUGGUGUGUUACACGUCAGAAGAGGACCAUUACAUAAAGCCUAAGAUAAAGCCAAUUGGGCUGAAACCAAGGAUCCAGAUAGCCCAAUAUUUGUCCUCGAGCCCAAAGAAGAAAAGAAAAGAAAUUUAGAAUUGCGAGUGUUUAUUCCACGUAUUGGCAUCAAAUGUAACAGCCUGUGGCCAAGUGCCGAUGCUCUAUUGUAAGUUUGUAACUCCUUACGUUCCAAUGGGUUCAUUAAUUUUGAAAUAGCUUUUCCAUUAAUUAUCAACGUCUUGGCCAGUAUAAAAUCAAAGAAAAUUGCAAAAUGUGGUGGAUCAAAACAAUGGCUACACUGGUUGCUCCUGAGGACUUUUCUCCCGGUGAAGAUGCGCUCGCUAUCAACAGGGCUUGUCAAGGUACUUUCUAUACUAUCUCACAAUUAUUUUCUUUCACUUUCUUUCUUAUUACCCGUAUGGACCCGGUUUCCUCUAUAUAUAUAUAUUAUUUGCUAUAACCCAUAAUAUGGAGGGCAUGAGUCAUUAUAAAUGGUAUCAAAACGGAUCCACUUUGAUGUAGUCUUGGGAUACAAGUAGGAUGUGUAUGAGAAGUGAUUGUGAUAUCUUACUUUAGAUAAAAGAAAUAAGUUUUUAACAUUGUAUAUGUAUGAGCUAUUCUCUAUUGUGUACGCAUAUUCUUAAAGCCAUGAGAAUUCAUUGGGUUUAAAACGAAUGAUAUCUAUGUGAGGAGGUCAUUACAGUGACAUUUUCUCCUGAUAUUCGUUUGCUAAUUACAUUAAAAGUUCGUUGUUCUUGUUUUGGACAUUUUUUUUAAGGAUGGGGUACAGAUGAGAAGGCCAUAAUAUCGAUACUAGGUCACCGAAAUGCAGCUCAAAGGAAGCAAAUCAGGCUGGCUUAUCAAGAGAUUUAUCUAGAGGAUCUCACCAAACAACUUAAAUCUGAGCUUUCUGGCGACCUUGAGGUCUGUAUUCAACAUUACUUAACCUUAUACAAUAUGACUUCGAUAUGUAUCUGUUGCUAAUUCUAUAAUCAAUCUGAUAGAGGGCUAUAUGCCACUGGAUUUUGGACCCUGUCGAACGUGAUGCUGUCUUGGCUAAUGAAGCAUUGAAGAAGGCAAGACCUGAUUAUCGGGUAAUUCUUGAAACUGCAUACAUGAAAUCUCCGGAAGAGCUCUUGGCAGUGAAGCGUGCUUACCAGUUUCUCUACAAGCGUUCCCUUGAAGAAGAUGUGGCCUCACAUACCACAGGUGACAUGCGACGGGUAUGCUUCAAAGUUCAAACCCUGAUUGUAAUUCUGGAAAAGUAGCACACUGGCAUAUGUAGUUUUAGCCGCUACUCUUUUAUUGUACUAAUUAUCAGCCUGAAAUCAACAUUGGGUAUCAUGGAUUUGGUGCAGCUUCUGAUUGCAGUAGUGAGCGUUUAUAGAUAUGAGGGUGAGGAGAUUGAUGAGGGAGUGGCACAUUCAGAAGCCAAUAUUCUUGGGGAUGAAAUGCAAGGGGGAGCUCUCAAGGGUGAGGAGAUUAUCAGAAUACUGAGUACAAGGAGCAAGGCACAGCUUAUCGCAACUUUCAACAACUACAAGCAAAUUCAUGGCACAUCCAUCACCAAGGUAUAUCAAGAUACAAUGUUUCAUAUCACUAUAAAUAUACGAGUCUCUCUUAAUUUUGUAGAUGUGCUUUAAAACUGUGAGAGUCCUCUAAGUUUAAGGUAGACAAUAUCUACAUAGUUGAGAAUGAGUAAUUUUAAAUGGCAUCAAAGUCGAUUCCUAUCCCGAUGUUGGGUUUGUUUGGCCUCAUGAAAGGAAUAUGUGUGUUUGGUCCCAGUGAAGGCAAUUUGUCUAUUUGAUCCCGUAAUUCUAUGAAACAUAACGAAAACAUUAUAAAUAGCAUUUGGUUCGAUCCUUAACCCUGAUGUAGAGGUUUGUUUUUGCCCCGUGAAGGGUGUCUGUUUGUUUGACUUCCGUAAUCCUAUGAAAAAAAGUUCUUCUCCUCUUGAUUUUGUAUGCUCAUUUUAAAACCAUGAAGUCCCCUCCAAAUUAGACAAUAUGGACACCCCUAGGAGCGGAUGAUUACAUCCAAUGAUUUAUGAAUAAGUUUUAGUCAAGAACAAAUAAUUUAAUUGAAAUUGUAUCACAUUCUAUUGUCAUCUGCAUUGAUAUGUGGUUGAUUAAUCAUUUAUAGAGUUUACGUGGUGACCCAACUGAGGAAUUCUCAGCAGCAUUGCGUGCUGCCAUUCGAUGCAUCAGGAACCCGAAAAAGUACUUACAAAAGGUAUGAGAUAUCAUCACUCUAGAGAAAAAAAAAUCAGAAACCCGAAACUAAGAGGCCGGUUGUUUGACAAUAUAUGAUUUUAAGAAGUAUUUCUUGAUAAUAAUAUUUAAGUGUUAGAAAUAUUAAAAGCGUUUGAUAGAAUUACUAUCAAAUAAUUAAUUCUAAUUCAAGUUAACCGCAUUGAGCAGCUACUGUGCAAUGUGAUCAAUAACAUGGGAACAGAUGAAGACACUCUCAGCCGCGUGAUCAUCACACGUGCAGAAAAGGACUUGAAGGAGAUGAAGGAGCUGUAUUUGGAGAGAAACAGCAGGUCUCUUGAAGAUGCAGUAUCCAGUGAGACCACUGGAGAUUACAAGGCAUUUCUUCUCACCUUGCUGGGAAAUCAAGAGUUCUAGGUUUCUAAUCCUCUUCAGCUCUAAGUACUGCUUAAUGGGAUUCUUCAAUUUGAUUUCUACUGUUUCUGUUUUAUGCUUAAUUUCUCAUAGCAUUCGUUCUUGUUAUUGGCAGUAGAAAUCAUAAUGGAAAUACUCUAAUCAAGAAUAAGAAAUAGAAUAAGAGGGUUUUUUUUAAAAUUUUUUGUUGAAAACAAUCAAUUUAUUUUCAGACUUUAAGUUGUAUUUUUUUAUAACUUAUUAUGAACUUUUUGCUAAACAAAAAAAGAUAAAAUAUUUGAUUUUUUCUAAACAGAAAAAAUAAUAUAUUAAUUUUUAUUUUUUAAUACUUAAUAAAAAUAAAAUAUUAAAAAAACAAACAAUCUAAUACUUAAUACUAUUUAGAAUUGAGAAAAAAAAAAUACCAUCUCUAAGUCACUAUGUUUCAAAUAUGCCCUUUAAGGGAGUAGAAUUAUGACUCAAAAACUUAAAGUAUCUUGUGUCUUGACUUCUAAGAUUUUUAAUUUUUUUUGUUCUUUUUAAAUUUAAUAAGAGUUUUGUGUUUGACCAAUUUUGUUCAAAGAGCAUAGAAGAAAAAAAAAGUUGAUAUGAAAGCCAAGAAAAUAAUACUUUUUUACAAAAGUCUCAUUUUGAUUUAUCCAAAAAUAAAUAAUUAAUAUUUAAUAAUGCCAAUAUUACCGCUUAAAAAUGAUAACUUUUGGCUUUAGUUACAACUUCUAGUUAAAGGCAAAAACAAAAACAAUUUCAAACAAGACAAAAAUAGGAAGUCAUUUGGUCAGUUUAUGGAAAAUAAAAAUAAAAAAUAAAAUAAGCUAGACCGAUAUGAUCAAUUUAUGCUUGAAUUAAAACUGAACCAACAUUCUAAUAAAAAAAAAAAUUCUCAAACUAAAUCAAACUUGAUUAAUGUCAAUUUCAUUUGGUUUGUAUAAUCAAUUUGAUGGAAGUUAACUUUGAUUUUAAGUUUAAUUAUUUUAAAAUUAAUUUAACUACAGUUUAAGAAUGAUAAAUAAAUUAAACCUCUUAAAUGAUGAUUAAUGAGAUAACUUCUGCUUAAUUGAAAAGUGAAGUCCCAUUCAAAAUCAUAAUUUUUAAAAUAUAAGGUUAGUAUUUUAAAGUUUUUAUUAAACAUGAACAUAAAUUAAAAUAGAGUUUUUGCUAGAAAUAAUUUUUUUAUUAAUACUACUAAAACUCAUUUAAAAACAUUGGGGUAUGAAAACAUUUUUACUUCCUCAAAAUUUAAAAACUUUAAAAGUAAUUUAAAAUGAAGUAUGUUAAUUUUACUCUAUUUUAUAUAAAAUGUACUAUUAAUUUAUAUUUUUAAUUUUUCAUUAAUUCAUAACAUCAUGAAGAAGUUGAUUAAUCAUAUGGCUGAAAGCUUCUACUCCAAUAUGAGUUGCUUCAUUCACAUGCUUUGCUAGAAGGACAACAAUUUAUUUAUUUAUUUAUUUAUUUUAUUGUUCAAUGGGCACAUGUCCUUAAAUUUAAUUUAAUGGUUCUCUAAAAUGGUUAAGGUUCAAUUUUACUCGUAAGGGCUAGUAUAUUAUUUUAAAUUUGUCCUUAAGUCUUAUUUUUUUGUCCUUAAGCCUUAUUUUCAUUAAUUUUGGGAUUGGGAUGUAAAAUUAAAUAAAAUAAAAAAAUUUAGUUAAUGGUUAAGAUUUAAUAUUCCUAGUGUUUUUUUGGAAGGCUCAUUUUUCCUUAAUGACGUGGUCUUAAAUUUAUUUUUCAUUUUUCAAUGGGAUACUUAAAUAUUAUUUGGCAUAUUAAGACUUAUUUUAUUUUCAUUUUUCCAAGGCCAUCCACAUGGUCUUGUCGUUGAUAUGAAUGUUAUUUUGAAUUUGUUUUCGUUUUUCAAGGUUUAUAUAUCCUUGAAAACGUUUUUAGUAUUAUACUUCUGAAAUUAUUUUACUUUUGCUUAAAUAAUCUACUCUAGAAAAUCUUAAAAAUCAAAAUUAAAAUUGAAGAAGCCAUCAACAUAAGGAAAACAUCUCACAUUUUUCAAACCCCCAAUGAUGGAAAGUUUCUGUUUUGAUAGGGUUUAAUCAUGAUGAAAUGGGCCCAGGCCCAUAAAGAAACAAAUAUAUCCACAAAACGUGUGGCUUUUGUUAAUGGCCCACUAAGCACAUCAUCGGAUCCUUCUUUUCUGGGAAUAUUCCACUACACUCCCCCACACAGAAACUGUUUGUAUUCCCUCACCUGCCAACUCAUUUAUCACCUUCCACCACAACCCCACCUCAACUGAAAUUCCCUACAAAAAGUAUUAGACGUCAUGAUCUACGGUCCUGAUUUAACCACCCAAAGAAUCUUGAAAAGUUUUGGUGUGCUGGGAUUGGAGGUUAGAUUUUAGAAUUUAGGGGGAUAUUCCAAUGCAGUGGCGGACAGACCAACUGUUUGUGCGUCUCCAUCUGCCAACCCAUACUACCCCACUUUAAAAGCCAAUGUGAUCUUUGAGGUCGUCAUGGAUGGUCCUGAUUUAGCAGCCGGGUUGAUGUUUUUAAAAGAAAUAGGUGUGGUGGUUGUAGACAAAGGAUUUUCUCCCCAUAUGGCGUAACCAGAAUUACAGAGAAGAUUGAUGAGGUGAUGAUGUGCGAAGUGGCUGUGAUUGGGAUAUUUCAAUGAAGAGGAGGAGGAGAAAAAGAGAGAGAGAUUCAACAUGGGGGGUUUCUCAACAAACAAUUUCAAGGGCUUUGUUUUGGCACUGUUAUCAAGUGGGUUCAUAGGCGCAAGCUUCAUCAUCAAGAAGAAAGGCCUUAGAAGAGCAGCUGCUGUUUCUGGGGUUAGAGCUGGUGAGUUUUCUUGUGUGUUUUCAAUUUUGUCAAGUUUUGAUUUUUUUCUUUUUGAGAUGGGUUUUUGGUUUUCUCAAUUGGGUAUGUGUUUGAUUGCUUGAAUACUGCAGGAGUUGGUGGGUAUGCUUAUCUAUUGGAGCCUUUAUGGUGGUUGGGCAUGAUCACAAGUAAGUGUUUUCUAUUAGGUUUGUUUGAAUUUUUGUGGGUUUUGGUUAUUUUGUUUUUUCUUGUUUACUUUAGGUUUGGGACCCCUAUGAUCAUGUCAACAACUUUAACUGUUUGGGCAUUUUAAUUUGGUUUCAUAAUGUGCUAUUUGGAUUUAUUUUGAAUUGUAGUUGUCGAUUUGAUUAUGAUCUUUGAUGCUUUGGAUAGUUGCUAAAACAUCAGGAAUUAAUUCUUCAAAAUGGAAAUUAAUCUCUCUUUGGUUUUCAUUUUUACUUUUUGCUGUCACACUUCUGUAUUUGGUUCUGGGAAAGAUUGAAGGGGGAAGGAAAAUGCUUAGGAUGACCUUUUUCUUAAGAGGUUUCCUUUCCCUUUGUAUCUGCCUUUCUAUUGGUGAAAUAAACCGACCAAAAGAAAAUGGUUAGAAUGUAGUUUUAUGGGUUAUUUUGUAGCCACUGUUAGCAACUCUUAACCAGUGUGAGGACACAUGAUUCACCAUGGACUUUCGUUCUUCACUGACUGUUUGCAGAAUAUCUCUUGUUGUAUGUAUGAUUUCUGAUGUAGUGAUUGUGGGAGAGGUUGCUAAUUUUGUGGCAUAUGCAUUCGCCCCAGCUGUUCUUGUUACCCCUCUUGGGGCAUUAAGUAUCAUUGUCAGGUAAUCAGUAGUGCAUUCAAUUUCUUUAUGAGUUAACACUCGAAUGGCCUUGUUGGUUGGUUUAUGAUGUUUUGAAUGGUUUGCUGCAGUGCGGUGUUGGCACACUUUAUCUUGAAGGAGAGGUUGCACAAACUAGGGAUUUUGGGCUGUGUUAUGUGCAUUUCUGGUUCUGUCAUAAUUGUUAUCCAUGCACCACAGGAGCGUUCUAUCUCAUCUGUUCAAGAAAUAUGGAAUAUGGCAACACAAACAGGUUAGUUUUUCUCCUUGUUGAAAUUCAUUUUUAUGGAUUCAUAUUAAUCUCUCUUGACUACAAACUACAUUUAAUUUUUCAUUUCAGCUUUUCUGCUUUAUGUGGGUUCUGUGGUCGUGGUGGUUUUCAUUCUCAUCUUCCAUUUUGCACCACAAUGUGGAAGCACGAAUGUCCUAGUUUUCACCGGCAUUUGUUCAUUGAUGGGGUCUCUCUCGGUAAAAAUGAGAUGGAAUUACUGUGAUACUUUUGUUUAUUAUAUUAUAUUUUUCUGACCUAGCAUUGCAAACUUGAUACUUUGAGCCUUUCUUUGAACCUCAGCGUGAACUUGCGUAAACUUCCACAAACUUGUGGCUAUUUCAAUGUCUGUAGCUUAUUUUUUUAACUUUAAUUUUUUUUAGCUUUGAAAUGAUUGGCUUUUUAACAUUCUUAGAUUUUGACAUGGUAAUUCUCUUUCGGUAAUAACCAAACUUUAUUUUAUCUGGGAUUCUACCUUUCAAAAAACCUGUUUGACUUUUUCAAAGGCCAGUUGGUUUAGGUAUUUCUUCUGGAAGUGGGAUGAUUUGGAUGAAAGAACUGGCUUUUGCAUUCUCAUUCAUCUGUGGUUUCUGAAUUUUGUUUUUGGUCAAUUUGCAGGUGAUGAGUGUGAAAGCCCUGGGAACUUCACUGAAGUUGACCUUUGAGGGAAAGAACCAGUUAAUCUUUCCGGAGACUUGGUUUUUCAUGGUGGUGGUGGCUAUUUGUGUCAUCACACAGAUGAAUUAUCUCAACAAGGUUGGUAAUGAAGUGCUACUGCUAAUUUAUUAGAUGAUUCAAUUAGUCAUGCACAAGCUUUGUUUUCCUCUUUGUGGUUAUAACUUUUGCUUGUUGGGCUUCAAAAGCAUAAGCAGGCACAUCUGUUGUGAGUUUAAAAGAAUUCUGUAGAUUAGGAUGACCAAAUAGUUUAAAAUUUUUCACCUCAAUCACCAGACGAACUGGUUACUGGCUGAGUAUUUGCAUUUUCUUUUUCCUAACUUGCCUUUUGCAAUGUAUUCGCAUUUGCAUAAGCUUGACCUUCAGGGGCUGUUAUUUAUGAACUUCACUGGAAAAUGGUUUCAUCAUUGUACACUUCAAUUAAUCUAGGAGGUUCUAUUUAAGUGGUGAAGAUUUUAGAUGCAGGCAUGACAUGUUUUGAUCAACAUUCCCUUCCCAAAAAUUAUAAUGGUGAAACAUUUGUCUUAUUAAGGGCCCUCUAUGUCCUUACAGUACUGUGUCCAGUGUGAUGUCUGAGUUUCUCACUGAAGUUCCCCAGGCACUUCUGUCUCAUGCUUCCUCAGAUACAUGAACUUUUCAUCCCUACUUCUAAAUUCUUGUUCUAACACCAAUCAUGGACCUGGUUGCAACCAAUGUGGAGUUUUAAAAAUUUCUUUUAUAUCUUGAAUCAAAACAUUCAAAAUUUUAGGUGUAGAAUGGGUGGUUGUCUCAUCAAAACCUCUGCUACACUAGGUUUCCUAAUGGUUUAGGAGAGCUGCCUCCUCAUUUGUUAGUAAAGUACAAUGGACAGGAUCUACCCAAGUCUCACCAAUUCAACAUCAUGGGUACUUCUGAGCUUCUUUUUCUACCAUUCCAUACAAAUAUCUUGGAACUCACUAGAACUCAGCAUAGCCUCAUCUGCUACAAGCCAUAGGCUUGAAAGUUCCUUGAAAACUGUAUUGAAGUAGGGUAAUAAUAAAUAAAUGUAUCAUGACGAUCAUGCGCUUCUAAAUGUCUGGUUAAUUCUAUUUCAUAAAAUAUUAUCAAACGUAAAUUUUGUGCAAUGUAGUUAAUUGUUGUGAAAUAUAAACUAUUGCUAUUAAACUAAGGUUUAAGGAUAUAUUAUAAUCAAAGAGCGUAUGUAUAGCUUAUUUGGGUUUAACAAAAUAUGGCUAUAGAUAGUUUUGUUAAUUUAAUUUGAUAAAAAAAUUAGUUUGACUUCAUAGUCUGGUGUGACACUAUUGGAUUUUCUUGUUUGUGAAUUUAUCAUUCCUUCUUUAUAGUGUCUUUUAGAUGUAAGAAUCAAGUAUUGAAUGGUCUAUUAGCAAACGGUUUUUAUAUGGGUACUUGUGUGUGCUUCUCUCUUUCUCUCAUUCCCUUAACACACAUGACACAACACACAUAUAUUUUCCAUGUUUAUCUUUCAUUUUCAAUAUUUAAUUCAAAUUGUUAAUUAUCUCCUCUUUCACCAUUCUUGGAGUUCUGCUGAAAAUUUAUCUGUUUUACUAUUAACUUUCACUUGUACGCUCAUUCUAUCUCAAAAAGGGUGCUAAUGGCUGCGGGACUCCUGCAGGUUGAUAUUAACAUCAGUAUUGUCACUGAUAACACUGUCAACAUUUUAGUUCUUGCUUAAAACAUCCCCUUAGUAAUCACUGAGAAUUUGUUUACUAAGGGCUUUCAUCAGGAUGGAAAGCUUCUUAACAGUCAUUAGGAUGUCUAUUGGUGGAAUCAGACUCAUUGGUCUUUUUCAAUGGAUCUGAGAGUUGCUUCUAUCAAGAAUGGAGUAUUUAUCUUGAUAUAGACCUUUGAUCUCCAAAAAAGGAUCAAUAAAAAUGAAUUGUGGUGGCAAACUUUAGAGACAUGCCUGCUUUAAUAUCUCGAUCAUCAAUUUCUUCUUAUUUCUAGUUACACAUGUCUCUCUCAAAUGUGCAAUGCAAUAGACACGCAAGGGUAGCCCAGUUGGUCAGGGUGAAUACUGGAAAGUGUGGUCCUAGUAAGUGGCACAUGGUCUUGGGUUUGAAUCUUGCCAUUGAUGAUACCCUAAAUUUACCUGGUACUGGUUGUUGCGGGGCGGUUAGCACCUCGAGGUUUGGGUCCCCAUGGAGAGUCCUAAGAGCUUGGCCAUGGAAGGUUCCUCGAUUAACAAAAAAAAUAAAAUAAAAAUAGUGCAAUGCAAUAGAUCCCACAUAAACCCUUAACUAGACAAGUUGGCAAUUCGUUUAUAUAUGUCAACCUUUAUCAUUGCAUGUGCUCCAUGACAAAAGUUACCAUGCAACCAUGAUUCUUACUUCCUUUUUUUGAUAAGAAACAUGAAAUAUAUUAAAUAUGAAAAAAGUACAAGAGAAGGAUGUGAGGUCCUCCCCACAUAAAACAAAAAACUAAACAGUUUUGCUAUACAAGGAGGACUAUACACAUAGGCAUAUACAAAUCUCCUCAAGACCGGGCUCAAAAUCUCUCAAAGUUAUCCACCCCUUUUGAAUUACAAACUGAACACCAACUGAGUUGAAUAACAUUCAGUGGAACACCUUUAAAAGUGACAGUACAAGAGGCCCACAAGUAGGAAUUAAAGUGAAGUAGAUCCAACAAAUUUUCUUCUGUUCUCCACUUUUCCUCAAAGAUCCUAGCAUUUCUCUCUUGUCACACAAUCCAAAGUAUAGUGAGGCAAGCGAAGGGUCUUGCCUUUGAUGGAGCUCUCCAAACCUCUAUAUGAAAUAGUCAUCAUAUCAUAAAUACUCCUAGGCUUGAACUCAAACCAUCUUGGUUAUAUCGAAAAGCAUGUGCCAAAGUUCCAAUGUUAAUAGGGAAUGUAGAAAGAGAUGGUCGAUUGAUUCUCCACUUUCCAUGGAUAAUAUGCACCAAUGAGAACUAAGAGACUCAUAGGGUCUUCUCAAUUGUAGCAUGUUAUUGGUAUUUAUCUUUUUAUUCUCUACUAACCAAGCAAAGGCCUUGACCUUUGGAGGAGCUUUUGAUUUCCAUAAAAAUUUGACUGGAAAGAACAGGAAAGGAUAUGAUAAAUUGGACAAGGCCUAGAGAAAUGAUUCUUACUUCCUUCACAAAGGUUGAUCCAAAGGGAAACCUCUCUUGCUUGUCCAUUAUUAGUUCACUCCAUGGUGCAAUUUUUUUCACUUCUAGAAAGGGAAAAGCAAAGUUUGCAAGAAAAGUGGCCAUAUGGUUCUCUAGUUUUUAUGAGGAGAAAUUUAAAUUUUUUUUUCCCACAGCCAGUCAAUCAAAAGCCUGCAUGGGAUGUAUUCUGCACUCAAGUGUGCUGAGAUCAUGAGCAUUAGCUGCACUACCAAGUGUCUGGCUUCACAAAUUCAUUUGUAUGGAUGUGAUGUCAGCAUAUUUCCAUGUUCAUUGCGUUGACAAAAGUCCCUAGCUGACAAGGUCCUCUCUUGUUUCUCUAUGAAUGAGACUGGUGGAUUCGUUUGUAUGCAAACUGUUGCUUGGAUACCAUAAGUAACCUGCAUUCAGGCUCUAAAUUAAACUUAAUGUGUGCCAAGAAAACAAAUCCAAGUGGUUGUGGUAAGUGCAAGAGUAUCACUUGAUCUGUUUCAAGAUUCCAGAUGGCAAGAUCCUCUCCUUGAAAGAGCCACACGGUCAAUGUGUAAAAUCAGGAAGAAGAUGCUCAAUGCUCCAUUUCUGUUUGAUGUUGAGAGAGUAAGCAAUUGGGCAUCUGUGCUGCAUUCCACUUUGUAAUUGAAUAUAUUGGAGUUGAUCUUUCAGAAUAUUUUUAUUGGCAAAUUGUUCUUUAAGACUUUAACAGAUACUUUCUCACCAUUCAUCCACCAAGAGUUGAUUCCAUCACAGUAGUAAUGACAUCCUUGCCACAUGAGCCUUCAGCUUCUGAUUCUAUUCUUAAAGGAUGUUUCACUUGAAUAUGGAUUGAUGCUACUGGACAUAAAUUUUCUGAUCAAAAGUUUUUUCUCUCACAACAUUUUUCUGAUGUUUCAGGCUCUUGAUACUUUCAACACUGCAGUUGUGUCCCCCAUAUAUUAUGUCAUGUUCACAUCACUUACAAUCCUUGCUAGUGUGAUAAUGUUCAAGGUAUUGUCUUCUUUAUCAGUGGCAUCUUAUGCUGGAUGCUGUUUCCUCCAACCUAUAACUUUUUAGCAAAUAUAGCUUCAUUUUUAGGUUUGCUUUAUUAAGUACAAGGCAGUUUCACAAACUUAGCUUCAUCUUGUUGAGUUGAGACAUGAAUUCUGAAGGUGACCAUAACGCUUUGACCAAAGCAGUGGCUUGAACUCAGGUUUAUAAACUGGGUUUGGGCUCAUAGCCUUCUGGCCGCUGAUGAAAUUUAUGCCUUUGGCAAGAAUACUCUAUGAGAGGGUGGCAGAAAGUGCAAGUUAUUUUGAAUUGAUUGGGUUCGGAUUGAGAAGGAGCUAUAGGGUUGGAACUUGAUGAAAGAAAAUAUUGAUGGGUGUGCUCCUACUACACCAAUUAAUAGGCUGAAAAAUGGAGUGGUGCCUACCUUAGGAGGAUUAAGUUAUCAAGGCUUUGUGAACCUUCCACCUUUUUUCUCAGAUGGAUCUUUCUUUAUGAACCUGGCUUUCCCAAAGCAAACAGUUGGUCCAAAAACUCACCAAGCUUAUCUUUGAGCAACCCUGUAAUGAAACUGGUUCCUCUACCAGCCAAGAGUUAAUCGAAUCAUUAAUUGCAAUAUGACUACCCAGCUUAUGAGUUGAAAAAUGUUAUUUCAGGAUUGGGAUGGUCAAAGUGGAGGAAGCAUCAUAUCAGAAAUAUGCGGCUUUAUUGUUGUGCUCUCUGGAACCAUCUUAUUGAAUGUGACCAAAGACUAUGAGGAUUCAUCCUUUAGAGGUGCGUGGUAAAUUUUUGCAUUCCCAUCCUUUCUGAUGUUCACUUUUACCAUAUUAAAUCUUGAAUUAUUUGCAUGAAUAUUUUUUAUUGGAAUCAGGUAUCUAUCAUCCACCUCUAUCUUCUUCAUUGUCAGCACGACUCUGCAGUGGAAACGGGGAAUUGCUAAAGCAUGAUGAGGAAAAUUUAGUAUCUUCUGAUGAAAUUUGCUUAAGAAGACAAGAACUUUACUAGUAGAGGGCAAAAACUCCAGAAAAAAGCCCACCCACUUCCUUUAAUCACAGAGCAGGGCGAAAUCCAAGUGAAAGUUGUAAGAACUCUGACAUGAGAUGAUAACAAGCUCAAUGUUGUUAAUGCCAGAAUCAUGGGAAGCUAUCAAGACUCGUUCAGUUGGUUAUUUUGCGGCUCCUGAAAGUUGGCGGGAUUUCAUCAUUUACAAUUCCAUGUGCAGUGUCUUGGUUGGCAAUUGAUGCUUACAUUGCAGGGUGCAUAUUUGUACAGUGUUUAUGGCCAUAGAGAAGUUGGUGACUGGGAAGUAGAAUCGGUUCCUCAGUGACCUAGAGACCUAGAUUUCAGCGAGGAAGGCCGAGCUUUACCUUGUCAGCAGUGUCUGUACCAUUAAAGUUUGGUGUUGUAAUUUCUUGUGUUCAAUUCUUUCUGGGUGUAUUUCCUUGCAACAAACGGAUGAUGCAGAAUAUUUGGUGGUAGAUCAAUAAACAUCAUCAUGCUCAUCUGCCAUUUGUGUCUUCUAAUCCAUCUUUGUUAUUUUGUCUUUAUUGAAAAAAAAAAAAAAAGGAAAUAUGAAAGAAAAGAAAAGAAAAAAAAAAAAAAGAUUUAAAACCAAUAUAUUAUUUUUGAAUUUAUUUUUAUUUUUAUUUAUAAAGAUUAAAUAAAUGUAAAAAUUUAUAAAUUUAUAAUUAAUUUUAAUUAUAUUUAUUUUAUGGUAAUACAAAAAAUGUUAAUGAUUUUUUUAAUAUUUUUAUUCUUCAUAGUAAUUUUGAAAAAGAAAUUAUUAUAAAAUAAAAUAAUGAGAAGAAGAAUCGACAGGUCUUCUCGAUCCGUUCCCAUAAUCUGAUAAUUCUUAUAUUUUAUAAUUAAAGUUAAUAAAUUAUUUUUAUAAAUGAUUUUAAAUACAUUUAUUUUAUUUUUAUUUUUUUUAUAAAAAGAUUAAAUAAAUUUUAAAAUAUAUAAAAAUACAAUUAAUUAUAAUUAUAAUUAUAUUGUUAAAAUUAAUGAUUUUGGGAUGGCCUUAGUCUUGCCCCACAAGGACUACAAGUGGGGGUGGGGUUAAGACACUGCGUGUGGGGUGGGGUGCAAGACUCUGCGUGUGAUCCUUGAGCCAAAAAUGGAAGCAAAGAUAGGAAAAUUGUUGGAUUCCGUCGGCAACUUUUUCACCGGCGCCGAUCAGAUCCCAUGGUGCGACGGUGACAUCGUCGCUGUAAGUGCUUUCCCUACACUAAAUUCCAUCUGGGUCUCAGAUUUUGUUCUUUCUUUGUUCUUCUUUCUGGGAAUUGAGUUUCGUUUGGAUUUUGGUUUCUUCUGUGGAUUUUUUUUUCUUUUUUUUGGUUUUUUUCUGGAUGUUGUGUUCUUGGCCGAAUUCGAGUUACCUAUUUCAAUUCCUUGCAACCAGAAACAUCGUUUUAUUUUUAUAUUAAUUCUUUUGCUUUUGUUCUUGGUUGAUUUGGAAUUUUCAGUUUUCAAAUAUGAACCCUGCUGUAUAACAAUCACAUUUGUACAAGUUGGGUACAUUUUCGAGCUAAGGGACGUUUGGUUUAUGGGAAAAUACUCGAAAAGAAGUGAAAUAUUGGAAUGUUAAUUGGCAGCUGAAAGAGAAAUAUUCUGUAUGAGGCUGUGAAGGCAUCAAUUUGACUUUUAUUACAUUUUUAGGGUUUUAGUUUGUGGGUUUUGGGUUUGUUUAUCAACUUUUGGCAAAGAUUCAAGCUUGGUUGGUGGUGGUUCUGUUGGGAAGGUAGUUUCAGUAACUCAUAGGGCCUUGGUACAUGGCAGAUGGUUUUUGAAGGCAGUUUGGGUGGUAAUGAAUGCUUGGGCUUGAGACUGACCUACAAGCUGGGAGAUAGACGAGGUACAUGAUGUAUCUGCUGGAGAGUAUGGAUUUUACGGAGAGGUUGAGGAGCUGGAUAUAGAAUCGUAUUUCCCAAUUCUGGUGAAAAGGAGUUUGACUAGAUUUUCAACAGUGGGAGGGCUUUCUCAGUGCGAUCUGUUGCCUGCUUUAUUGUUCAUUUUGGUGAUUUGAGGCUUAGAGUAGGACGCCAGGGCAAGCCACAGAUGGGGUAUGAUUCUAGUUUUUAGUUGUAGGGUAGGGAGAACGAGGUGAGGCUGAUUGCUUGUUACACACAGAUGAUAAUAUAGCUUCAGUAGAAGUGGAAGUGUAACAGCUAUAUGUUUUAAUGUUUCAUUGUGUUUCAAGGUGAUCUCAAGCUUGAAAAUGCACUUGGAGAAGACUCAGUUGAUAGUGAACGCUGAGAGAAUGGAGGCUGGAUAUCGGCACUUUUGGGGUUGUAGCAUAGAGUGGCUUCCAUCUUCUUCUGAAAUGGUCCCAUUGGGUUUACCCUUGAAAGCUAGAUGAGUUUUCAGUUGCAAUUGAAAGAUUUUGAGAGAACUUGCAUGAUGGGAAAAACAAUGUUUGUUAAAGGGGCUGACAUGACCCUCAUCAAAAGCAUGCUUUCUAGCUUACCAUGUAUUUUAUUUCCAUUUUACUUUCUUAGUGGCAAAGACAUUGAAAAAGUUGUAGAGGAAUUUUCUUUGGAGAAUUCCUCAGGAGGGAAGGAAAUUUUGUUCAGUCAGUUGGGAGGAGGUUUGUGUUCCCCUGCAAUUUGUGGGUUAAGGGCUUUGGUGGUGGCUGAGCUCUGUGACUGUUGCUAAAAGCACUGCUGCAUUUUAAUGAAUCAUGCUACAUCAUGCUCAUUUGAUGAUUUGUUCAUUCUGUUUCUUAUCGUGUUUUUGACUUCUAAUGCAUUCAUAGGGUUGCGAGAGAGAAGUUGCCGAGGCUGGAAAAGGUUCUUCUGAUGAAUUGAAGAGCGACUGUAUCAUGCGUUUAUCAUGGGCUCUUGUUCACUCAAGACGGCCAGAAGAUGUGCAACGUGGUAUAGCAAUGCUUGAAGGUGUGAACAAAUAUAUGCAAAUUCAGAAUCUCUCUCUCUCUCUCUCUCUCUCUCUCUUCCCCCACCCAAUUCUUUGUCCCACUUGGCUUCUUUCCUGUGGGGUUGAAUUUCCCUGAAUGAUGUUUCGAGUGUCUGAUGACUCAAAAACUUGUCAAUGGCAGCUUCAUUGGCUGGCACUAACAGUCCCCUGCAGAAGAGAGAAAAGAUGUACCUUAUUGCUGUUGGGUAUUACAGAAGUGGGGACUAUUCAAGGAGUAGGCAGCUUGUGGAAUGCUGUUUGGAGGUCUGAUCUUCAAUUGUUACAGCUUUCAACUUGUUUGUUCAUUCCAUUAACAAUUGCUUUAUGAUGUUUCUUCUACAUUGUCUGAGUUUUCUAAUCAUACCUGUGCUCUAAUUUCAUCCUUUCAAACUAUCGGAUCUCCAUAAUGCAUAUGUUCUUAUUAAGUACAUACAUAACAACGUGGUUUGGGCAGUGCAGUCCACUCUUCUCAUAAUUGUGUUUGCAAUAUUGCAUUAUAUUACAUGAGUGUGUUUUUUGCAGAUUGCACCUGAUUGGAGGCAGGCCCAAACCCUUAAGAAAACAAUUGAAGACCGAAUUAAGAAAGGUAGGAAUUGAUAUAUAUCAUCCUUGCCCUUCAUUUGUCCUUUGACCUGAGUUUCUGGAACCACUGACAUUGUAUUUUUUUUCCCCUAAAAAAUGCAGAUGGUGUAAUCGGUAUAGGUAUUGCUGCAACAGUUGUAGGAGUCGUGGUGGGCGGGAUUGCAGCAGCUUUUGCUCGUAAGAACUGACCCAACACCUCUCAUCCAUGUUAUACAUAUUGGAUCCUUGAAUUCAAUUGCUAAUCUUGUGCUCAUUUUAGAACUUCCCUUUGGAGAACAAUCAAAGUAUUCAUAGAGCUUGAAACAAGUAUUACCAGAAUGCAUCUUUACUGCACUGUUUUCUCUAUGCUUAUGUACAGAACAUACUGUAACUGAUAGUCCUUACUUUUGGUUUUAAAAGAAGCCUGAAACUAUAUGAAGUUACUAGCAUUUCUAUCUGUUCAUGGUAUGUGUUUUGCACAUAAAUAUUAAAGUAUGCCUGGGGUUGAAGCUCCCUUUGCUAUUAAAUAGUAAGCUUGAUUGUUGGGUGGAACUUCUUUUGUCAUGAAAUAUGUAUGGCAUGGAUUUCAGUGAGACGUUUCAUAGAAUUCCAAAGGAAAGAAAGUCUAGAAAAGCUUGAUGUUUCUCCAGAGAAUGAAAUGGAAAACCUAGAAUUUGUUCUAAAAAAAAGUCAUCUGUUUUCAGAUCAAAUUCUCAAAACAAAAUGUUUUUCAGAACACCUAGAAUUUUUUUUUUUAAAUAUUUUUCAUGAUGAAAUUAAGUAUGAGAAAAUAUUUUUCUUUCCUGGGUACUUUUCCCCAAGCAAACAUAGCCCUAGGGAAUUAAUUUAAAUGAUUCCUAUAGUAACACUCCAUAAAUGCUACUUUGAAAAUAAUCAUUUAUUAUAUAAUAUAAUAUUAGAAAUAUUGAUAUAGGUUAUUAGAGUACCUUCUAGCAGAGUCAUCUAAAUUUAUAAAAUAAAAAAGUGGGGCCACAUUCAGUGACAUCAGCCAGCUGAAUAUUGGACACAUGAUUUAAGGAAAAGGGGCGCAGAUGUUUUCUUGAAAGGACAUUGAGAAAUACAAGGGGCAUUGGAAGGCUGAAAGGCUUGAUAUGGAAAGUUGAAACCACCAGCCAGCCGACACUCAAGUCCAUGGUUUUGGCAUCAAAACAGUGAGAAAAUUAAAAACCCACAUCCAAAACAGCUGGCUCUUUAACUUCUUCCAAUCCCUUCUCUCCCUCUUUAUAUCAAACAUGGUUACUCACAAAACCCUCAAACCAACCCCCCACCCCCCCAUUAUCAAGUUUCAUGGCUUCUCUUGUUCUUCUCUUGUCUGAACUUCUCAAACCCCAAACCACUGACCCAUAUGCUGCAACAUCACUGCCUUCUUCAUGUUCUUCUUCUUCUUCCUCAAAUGCCAAAAGGGUGACAGCAGAGUACUCCACCAUGGUUGAUCAAGAACCCAAGGAGGAGAUGAGGGUCUCUGUGGAGCUGGUUUGGCCUUAAAAAUUGGGUUAUGGUCACAUAGUCUGUGUAUAGAGUUCUUCAACUGGUUAGUCAGCUCUGGAUAUUUGCAAUGUAAUUUUGAUUGACUGCUUCUUGUUUAUCAGCCAUUUUCAAUUUUGUUGUAUAUCUUUCUCCUCCACCCGAUCCUUUUCUUUUCUCUCGAAUCCUCCUGGAUACAUAUGGAUUGAUUCAUGGAAAUUUGUGGAAAAACAUUUAUUUAAAGAAAAUCAAUAUCAUCCAAAGGACACAUGCAAGCUUUUCGAACAUAAAAAAAAUGAAGAGAAAAUUAGAUAAGUUGGAUAAUAAAAUAAUAAAUAUUACCAAUUUAUUUUUAUUUAAAAAAUAAUCAAACAAUAAAAUGAAUUAAAAAAUGGAUUACUAUCUUCAUUAUCUUAAUUACAAGUAAAUUUUGUAAUGCCAAGAC